UGACUAUUUCGAAUGUCAUUCUUUGCAUAUCAUUCAUGCUGUCAACCUGUAUGUUUAUGAUAUGAAAUCAUAAAUAUAAUAUAUUGAGAAACCCAAACGUGUUGUUCGAAGAAAGAACCCUAAACGCCCAUUACGGCAACACUGGCGCCCAACGUGGGGCUACGGCAAAAAUCCCUGAACAUACAGGAGCCUCAGAUCGGUAGCGAGGAGGGGGAGAGUCCAGGAAUUUAACACAGCGAUUCCUUGGAAACCGGUUUUUGAUUUUUCCCGGGGAGUAGGAGUCCACAUUUUUGCGCGGCAUCGAGCUCGAGCACCGAUGUGAGUACAACUACGUAUUUCUUGUGCACAAAACUUUGACGUCAAAACCGUUAAAACGUACGUACAGGAUUUCACGUUCUGCUACGCAAGGAAGGAUUCACGUUCAAUCAGGACGGAGAGUGAUGGACACUUAAAUCGUUGUGGACAUUGUGUAUCGUGUCAUUAUUGUGUUUUGCUUGUAUUUUGUAAGUGUUCCGACGGAGUUCGGUGAGUGUAAAUAUUUUUAUAAUUAUUGUGCAAUGUACAUA